CUUCAGGCGAUUACUUCUAUGGAUGUGACUAUAAAUUUUCACGUAUCGAGGUGAGAUUGGUAGGAGAGCACAUAAAAAAAUAUAAAUAUACACGGAAUGGACGUACCGUCAGAGAGAAACGAUUGCCUAUAUAUAGCAUAAGCUAUCAUUAACGGUGUUGAAGAAGUAUAUAGCAUAGAUUAUAACUAUCGGCAUGAUGCUUGUUAUCAAUGUAUUUUAAGCUAUAAAACG
rnacentral:lncRNA from 1 species